GGGACACGUGGUAUCCUGUCUGAAUAUGGGGGGACCAUCCUCCAAGGCUAAAUACUCCUGACUGACCGAUAGUGAACCAGUACCGUGAGGGAAAGGCGAAAAGAACCCCGGCGAGGGGAGUGAAAAAGAACCUGAAACCGUGUACGUACAAGCAGUGGGAGCACAGGUUUACCUGUGUGACUGCGUACCUUUUGUAUAAUGGGUCAGCGACUUAUAUUCUGUAGCAAGGUUAACCGUAUAGGGGAGCCGGAGGGAAACCGAGUCUUAAUUGGGCGUUAAGUUGCAGGGUAUAGACCCGAAACCCGGUGAUCUAGCCAUGGGCAGGUUGAAGGUUGGGUAACACUAACUGGAGGACCGAACCGACUAAUGUUGAAAAAUUAGCGGAUGACCUGUGGCUGGGGGUGAAAGGCCAAUCAAACCGGGAGAUAGCUGGUUCUCCCCGAAAGCUAUUUAGGUAGCGCCUCGUGAAUUCAUCUCCGGGGGUAGAGCACUGUUUCGGCUAGGGGGCCAUCCCGGCUUACCAACCCGAUGCAAACUGCGAAUACCGGAGAAUGUUAUCACGGGAGACACACGGCGGGUGCUAACGUCCGUCGUGAAGAGGGAAACAACCCAGACCGC
rnacentral:rRNA from 1 species